rnacentral:lncRNA from 10 species
AUAAAAAUCAAAAUAAUUUCAGCUCACCUCAGAUCAUUUUUCCUUCUACACAAAGUACCUGACCAGAUGUACCAUUUGUUGAAGUCUUGCAAGUUCACCCUGGAGUGUGGCUGCAAGGUAGCUGCUGCCCAUUUUUGGCUGGCGCCUAAACACUGAGCAGGCCCAUUAUAAGCCAUGCUUCGGUUUUUUGCUUCUCCUUCAGUUGGUCAUUUAGGACUCCUCCAUGUGGCCACAGGUGUAACCUGAGAGAGAGGAGGGCAGUAAUGAAAUGUAGGGGGUAACACUGAGGUUUGGGCUACCAAUUUAUGCAGCUUUCGUGCUUAGGCUUUAUCUCAUAUGUACCAUUUGCAUUUUAUAUAGAUCGCUUCUUGACCUGCACAACUUUCUGAUUUGAUGAGUUCAACAGAAACCAACUCAAGGGAGAAGAAUAAAGACAUUGUUGAACUUAGACUUUGACAAGGUAAG